AUUGAACGCUGGCGGCAUGCCUUACACAUGCAAGUCGAACGGUAACAGGUCUUCGGAUGCUGACGAGUGGCGAACGGGUGAGUAAUAUAUCGGAACGUGCCCAGUCGUGGGGGGAUAACGCAGCGAAAGCUGUGCUAAUACCGCAUACGAUCUAUGGAUGAAAGCGGGGGAUCGCAAGACCUCGCGCGAUUGGAGCGGCCGAUAUCAGAUUAGGUAGUUGGUGGGGUAAAGGCCCACCAAGCCAACGAUCUGUAGCUGGUCUGAGAGGACGACCAGCCACACUGGAACUGAGACACGGUCCAGACUCCUACGGGAGGCAGCAGUGGGGAAUUUUGGACAAUGGGCGCAAGCCUGAUCCAGCAAUGCCGCGUGCAGGAUGAAGGCCUUCGGGUUGUAAACUGCUUUUGUACGGAACGAAAAGGCUCUGGUUAAUACCUGGGGCUCAUGACGGUACCGUAAGAAUAAGCACCGGCUAACUACGUG
rnacentral:rRNA from 1 species